rnacentral:rRNA from 1 species
UACGUAGGGUCCGAGCGUUGUCCGGAGUUACUGGGCGUAAAGCGCGCGCAGGCGGUUUUUCAGGCCCGACGUGAAAGCCCUCGGCUCAACCCGGGGGAGAGUCGUCGGGGGACCGGGAAACUUGAGGGCGGGCAGGGGUCGGUGGAAUCCCCGGUGUAGUGGUGAAAUGCGUAGAAAGUCGGGGGGAACACCCGUGGCGAAGGGCGGCCGACUGGGCCGACUCUGACGCUGAGGCGCGAAGGCGUGGGGAGCGAACGGG